GACGAACCGUGCGAACGUUGUUCGGAAUCACUGGGCUUAAAGGGUGCGUAGGCGGCGCGGUAAGUCGGGUGUGAAAUCUCGGGGCUUAACUCCGAAACUGCAUUCGAUACUGCCGUGCUUGAGGACUGGAGAGGAGACUGGAAUUUACGGUGUAGCGGUGAAAUGCGUAGAUAUCGUAAGGAAGACCAGUGGCGAAGGCGGGUCUCUGGACAGUUCCUGACGCUGAGGCACGAAGGUCAGGGGAGCAAACGGG
rnacentral:rRNA from 1 species